rnacentral:rRNA from 1 species
CCCUUAGAUGUUCUGGGCCGCACGCGUGCUACACUGAGUGGAUCAGCGGGUCAGGUUGCGCGAAAGCGUCUCCUAAUCUUUAAAUCCGCUCGUGAUGGGGAUUGACGGUUGCAAUUUUCUGUCAUGAACGAGGAAUACCUUGUAAGCGCGGGUCAUCAUCCCGCGCUGAAUACGUCCCUGCCCUUUGUACACACCGCCCGUCGCUCCUACCGAUUGAGUGGUCCGGUGAGGCUUUGGGAUCUGAGCGGAAAGAGCGUUUCGCUGUUUCUGCUCGGAAAACUCAGUCGAACCUUAUCAUUUAGAGGAAGGAGAAGUCGUAACA